rnacentral:rRNA from 1 species
CACGUAGGCACCAAGCGUUGUCCGGAUUUAUUGGGCGUAAAGAGCGUGUAGGCGGCCAAGCAGGUCCGCUGUGAAAACUCGAGGCUCAACCUCGAGACGUCGGUGGAAACCGUUUGGCUAGAGUCCGGAAGAGGAGAGUGGAAUUCCCGGUGUAGCGGUGAAAUGCGCAGAUAUCGGGAAGAACACCCGUGGCGAAGGCGGCUCUCUGGGACGGUACUGACGCUGAGACGCGAAAGCGUGGGGAGCGAACAGG